rnacentral:rRNA from 1 species
UACGGAGGGGGCAAGCGUUUGUUCGGAAUUACUGGGCGUAAAGGGCGCGCAGGCGGCUGCUCAAGUCAGGCCGUGAAAGGCCUGGGCUCAACCCGGGAAUUGCGCUUGAAGACUGGGCUGGCUUGAGUGCGGGAGAGGAUGGUGGAAUUCCCGAGUGUAGAGGUGAAAUUCGUAGAUAUUGGGAAGAACACCGGUGGCGAAGGCGGGUCUCUGGGCAGUAACUGACGGCUGAGGAGCGAAAGCGUGGGGAGCGAACAGG